UUUCUCUUACAUGCCUUGAGUGUAGGACCGUUGGUAUAUUAAUUAUCCUCCCACACCCAAGGCUUGCAGGAGAGA
rfam:Loxodonta africana unplaced genomic scaffold scaffold_56, whole genome shotgun sequence.